rnacentral:rRNA from 1 species
UACGGAGGGUGCGAGCGUUGUCCGGAAUCACUGGGCGUAAAGGGCGCGUAGGCGGCUACUUAAGUCGCGUGUGAAAUCCCGGGGCUCAACUCCGGGGCUGCACGCGAUACUGGGUGGCUAGAGCUCGGUAGAGGCGAGUGGAAUUCCCGGUGUAGCGGUGGAAUGCGUAGAUAUCGGGAAGAACACCGGUGGCGAAGGCGGCUCGCUGGGCCGAUGCUGACGCUGAGGCGCGAAAGCGUGGGGAGCAAACAGG